UAGGGAAUCUUCGGCAAUGGGGGCAACCCUGACCGAGCAACGCCGCGUGAGUGAAGAAGGUUUUCGGAUCGUAAAGCUCUGUUGUAAGUCAAGAACGAGUGUGAGAGUGGAAAGUUCACACUGUGACGGUAGCUUACCAGAAAGGGACGGCUAACUACGUGCCAGCAGCCGCGGUAAUACGUAGGUCCCGAGCGUUGUCCGGAUUUAUUGGGCGUAAAGCGAGCGCAGGCGGUUUGAUAAGUCUGAAGUUAAAGGCUGUGGCUCAACCAUAGUUCGCUUUGGAAACUGUCAAACUUGAGUGCAGAAGGGGAGAGUGGAAUUCCAUGUGUAGCGGUGAAAUGCGUAGAUAUAUGGAGGAACACCGGUGGCGAAAGCGGCUCUCUGGUCUGUAACUGACGCUGAGGCUCGAAAGCGUGGGGAGCGAACAGGAUUAGAUAUCCUGGUAGUCCACGCCGUAAACGAUGAGUGCUAGGUGUUGGAUCCUUUCCGGGAUUCAGUGCCGCAGCUAACGCAUUAAGCACUCCGCCUGGGGAGUACGACCGCAAGGUUG
rnacentral:rRNA from 1 species